GACGAACGCUGGCGGCGUGCUUAACACAUGCAAGUCGAACGGAAAGGCCCUGCUUUUGUGGGGUGCUCGAGUGGCGAACGGGUGAGUAACACGUGAGUAACCUGCCCUUGACUUUGGGAUAACUUCAGGAAACUGGGGCUAAUACCGGAUAGGAGCUCCUGCUGCAUGGUGGGGGUUGGAAAGUUUCGGCGGUUGGGGAUGGACUCGCGGCUUAUCAGCUUGUUGGUGGGGUAGUGGCUUACCAAGGCUUUGACGGGUAGCCGGCCUGAGAGGGUGACCGGCCACAUUGGGACUGAGAUACGGCCCAGACUCCAACGGGGGGCAGCAGUGGGGAAUAUUGCACAAUGGGCGGAAGCCUGAUGCAGCAACGCCGCGUGCGGGAUGACGGCCUUCGGGUUGUAAACCGCUUUCGCCUGUGACGAAGCGUGAGUGACGGUAAUGGGUAAAGAAGCACCGGCUAACUACGUG
rnacentral:rRNA from 1 species